AAUUCCAAAGGCUAAGGAAAGCAUUGCGCAUGCGGGAAACCCACGCUGAGGGAAGAAUCAUGGGAAAGAGAGACGGGGUUCCACCGUGUUAGCCAGGAUGGUCUCGAUCUCCUGACCUCGUCAUCCUCCCGCCUUGGCCUCCCAAAGUGCUGGGAUUACAGGCUUGAGCCACCGCGCCCCGCUCUUUCGUGUUCCAAAGGCUUUUUAAAUAAACUUCCACUCCUGUCCUGGAUUCUGCUUUAUGGCCCUCAGUCGAAUUCUUUCUUCUGAGGAGGCAAGGACUGAAGUUGCUUCUGACCAGUACAGGAGAAAACGAAUACAGCAGGGAUGACUUCCACCAGCUCCACUUUGCAGCUCUGAGGUGUAUUAAAAAUGACCUGGAAGAAGUCAUGCCACGGGCCAGACCUUAACAUUCCUUUCGGCUUACCCCAGGAUUUCAGACGAAGCUUCACUUUCCUAACCAGUCACAAAUCAGAGAAUUUUUGAUUCCACCUAUGACCUGUGAGCUCCUGCUUCAAGAUAUUCCACCUUUUUUAGGCCAAACCAAUGUAUAACCUCCAAGUGUCGAUUUACACUUUCGACUGUAACUUCUGCUUUCCUGAGAUUUACCCCUGCCUUUAAAAACCCUUGCUUGUAAUCCCUCAGGGAGGCCGUGUAUUUAUUAAUCAUGAGCUGCCCAAUUCUCCUUGCUUGGUGCCCUGCAAAUAAACACCCUCUUUUCUCCCACUGCAAAA
rnacentral:sRNA from 1 species